rnacentral:lncRNA from 1 species
AAAAAAAAAAAAAAAAAACUGAAGAAUAAUUCAGGAGAUGAAAAAUAUUUGUCUUAUUAAUAUUAAUUUUAAUAAAAAGUCAAACUUAUUUCAUGGAAAAUUGUAUUUCUGACGGCACGUUGCCGAAACGCAUGCGCACAUUUUCCGCCUGGUGUUUUCCCCCAGCACGUAAAUGCAUGUCUUUUUGGUUUUGGGAGUUGUCAAACGUCACGCCAAUUAUUCUUUUGAAGCGACUAAAAUUAGCUUUGUUAUUUAAACGCACCUUUCCUCUACUUUGUUUAGCGUGAAAGUUUAGGCAUUGAUGCUCGCAGUUGCAAUCCAGCCUUUUGGAAAAACUGCACACAGUACUGCAAAAAGGUCCGCAAGUGAGAUGUUAUCGUUUAUCUUAAGUGUUGGCAGAUUAAAGAUAAAUAAUACUGAUGAACGAAUGCAAGUAUGCAAAAAUGGCCCACCAGCGAUAGAGCGGUAAAAGCCACUGAAUACUGGUAGAUCGAUCCGGGGUUCAAGUCCCUGCGAAAGGGCUGGCUGCAUGAGCGAUUUCGUGGUUUUUCCCAUAUGUAAUGAGGAUACGAGCCAGUGUUCCUCAAAAAGACCUCUGUGGGGCAUCCUUGCCUUUCCGUGUAGUGCCUAAGGACGGGAAAUGUAAUAAUAAGAAAAAAAAAAAGUAACCAGAAAAAAAAGUAACUGAAAUCAUUUUGAUGAAUUUCAGAAAAAUAAUUUUGAUGGUUCUUUCAUGUAUGGACAUAAAAAUUACGCAAUUUAAGUACUUUUUCAUAUAGCUAGGAAAGAUACAUUUUGGUCUGAACGAAAGUUUUAUUCUCAAGUAGUUGCAAAAGAAAAAAAUGGGGAGAAAAUAGAAAUAAAUGAAGAUAUACAAAUAUACAAAUAGUAUCAUGCUAUCUGAGUCACUAAAAUAGAAAUUUAUUAUUAUAGUUUUCUUUAAUAGCUCCACUUAAUUUUCAAAUCUUUUUGCAUUGAGAAGACUCUUCUUAAGAAUAGUGACUUCUUAAGAAUUUUGCUUACAACACUAGCCAAGAAGAAAACUUAAAUUUACUUGAAUUCCUUAAGACAUUUUCAGAAAAACUGAAGCUAUUUGAAGAUUUCAGUUAAAGCUAUAGUAGGCAGGUAAUCUAUUACGUCAUAUGGACUUGAGGCUACCUGUGUCUUGUAAAGAACAUGCCAAUAAAAACAUUCUGGGGAGAACUGAGGCUUAUAUUACACAGAGUGUAAGGAUUUCUGAAAGACUUUGUAGCAAGAGAAGCAAAUUAGGCAAAUUUUUAACUUUAGAUUAUUGGGAAAUCGUCUGUUCUUAAAACAUCAGAUCUGUUUUAAAUGUUCAUGACUAAUAAUAUUGCCAAUCUAAUAUUAAAUCCUACGUAAUCUAAAAUCCGAUGCAAAUAAUGUAGGUAGUCGUCUGAAUCUCCUACAGUUGAACCUAAAACAGAAAUACGACUUUGUAGCAAGAGAAGCAAAUUAGGCAAAUUUUUAACUUUAGAUUAUUGGGAAAUCGUCUGUUCUUAAAACCUCAGAUCUGUUUUAAAUGUUCAUGACUAAUAAUACUGUCAAUCUAAUAUUAAAUCCUUCGCAAUCUAAAAUCCGAUGCAAAUAAUGUAGGUAAUCGUCUAAAUCUCCUACAGUUGAACCUAAAACAGAAAUAACAGCAUUCAUAAUUAACCUCUCCUAAUGCGCAAGUCGAAGGGAGCAUUCACAUUCUAUUACAAGGAGAUUGCACGUCUACGCAAUUUUUAAAAGUUUAGUUGUAGACCGAUGACUUUGUUUUAAAAAAAUUAAUUAAGAAAAACUUUCAGAUAACAAAAAGUCUUAACAUGCGACAUAUUUUAGCGAAAAUGCUCAACUCAAGAAUUUAUAAUAUGGUUACAUUCGAAAAAUAUUAUGAAUAAGAAAAACAUUCAACACAGCUCAGCUGAAUUAAGCAUAAAAUAUUUCUCCUCUAACCCUAAUUACCUAGCAUAUAGUUAUUAAAGAUUUGAGAAAUGGGUAUUGUGAUAUGUCACCAUAUUACAUUUUCAAGCACAGACAUCUGAAAGGACUUUUGUAAAGCUAUCAAGCAAAUCUAAAUAAGAGAAAAUGAUGAAUCAGCUGUGCCAUAACGAAGAUUCAAACUUCAGAUCUUUCAACUACUUAGCCGAACGUGUUACCGAUUAUACCACGACAGCACACAAUGCAGCCCAAAAUCCCUUAAAUUUUUAAGUAUAAAAUAACAACAGUUUAGAAGUACUGGCUUCAAUUUAUUAUCUGUAAAGCUGCUAACACAUGAUUUUUUAUUUAAUGAAAUUUCAUUUUCUAAGAAUCCCAGAAUCUAUGCUUUUUCAUUAAGUGAAAGAACUUUAAAUUAUAGAAUUUUGACAAUGUAUUCAGCGCCAAAUUUAAAUACUAUGCACUCACCUUUGUUGUAAUAGAAGUUUUGAAAGAUUGGGGUCAAGGAAAAGUCAGUAUAGGAUUUGCCAGCUAAAGCAAUGAGAGAGAAGUUUUAAUAUUUUCAUCAUUUGUUCUUAUAUGCGUUUGGAGGAUCGAUUUAAGAAUUUCGGUGUCUCCUAUAAGUCGCAACAUGAAGACCCCUUCGGGUCUCCUUUAGAAUUAUAUUUUCUGAAGCCAGUUUAUGUUCCAUGGCCAGUCUGUUACAUAAUAUAUUACACUAAUCAUUCUGUUUUGAAAGUAAAAAUUAUAGGCAUUUAUGUAAUUUUUUUAUAUAACAGUUUUCAAAAUAGUGGAAUUUUCCAUAUCCAAGCAAAAUAUAACUGCACUAAAGCACUUGCAUAAUGUUAUCAAACCGCACAAUAUUUUCAGUUAAAAAAUUGAAACGGUUUCUCAAUUAAACUAAAAAUUUAUAACACAUUUAGCAAUUUCAACAUGCAAAAUUUAAAAGAUUUUUAAUUAAAAAAUUUAUUUGAAUAUUUCCAUUUACUGGACUGCUUAGUUUUUCUUGAUAGCCUUUAAAAAGUAGAUUUUGUUCCGUUAGGAAAGUAAUUAUGAAGAACAAUCUCCUUAAGACUAACCUCCAUGUUUUUUUCUUCCUCCUUAAUAUGAUUUUAUGCUACUUGAAUCAAUUUUGAAACUUAGAUUCUUAAUGACAAUUCAUUCCAUGUGUGCAUAUGAUCUAUGUGGUUUCAAGGCAAUUCAUGACGAGAGAGAGAGAAGCUUAAGGAUCCUUUAAAGUCUCAGUAUCAAUGUAUCGCAAGAGAACCAUAGUUAGUUUAUAAGCUUAACUCGCCAGAGAGCCACAAAUAGAGCUGAAUACUUUGCAGUAACAUCAAUACACAGCGUUCUUUUGUUUUAAAGAUAUGCAAGGUAAACCUCUUAAAUCUAUUAUAUGUGAAGAGGAAAAGGUUUUUCUUACUUUUAUGCUUUUUGAAAGUAAGAGAACUAAUAUUUUUGUCUAAUAAUACUACAGAAUUUAGAUUUGCUUUUCUAUUUCAAUUCCUUUCUCCAUGUUCUCACUUAAAUAUUUUCAGCCUUCUAUUAUAUUCUUAAAUAUUUUAUGUUUACAAACAUUACGAAAUUUAAUUGUUUCCUCUUUUUUUCUUGAAAACCGAUGAAAUUUCCAGAAUCAAUUAGUGACAGUUUUAUUUCAGUUUUAAUAGUAAAGAAUGCAAUAAUAUGUUAAUUGUGAGUAAAAAAUGCAAUGAUACUGGGAAUUUACUUUAUUCCCAUAAUCGUCAUAUCAUUUACUCAUAAUAAUGAGCUCAUUGCUGUUGAAAGAGGCCUGAGGUAUGUGGAGAAUAUUGUUGAACCUGAUUUUGUGGAUAUAUGAAUUCUAACUGAUAGCCGAUCAUCAGUUCAAAAUCUAAGGUAUUGGACAGAGGUUAGGGACGGGGCUGGCAUAUCUAUCCUGAACUUUCUAGGCUUUCGGUUAAUUUUAAGGUGCACAUUCAAUGGAUUCCCUCCCAUGUGGGCAUUAGCGGCAACGAGACUGCUGCUUUAGAGAUUUCCCUAUCAGAUAUGCUUUGAAUCUGAGGUGCUUUCGAGUGUAAGAAAUCAUUUAAAGAUCUCUGGAGUGUCCCUCUAGUACAUAACUGGUACUCGAGAGUUUGGGUUGGUGACUUCCUUUUUGAGGGGAAUAGCCAGCAGACUUGCAUAUCAAGUUUUUGCAAGUGGACACUUAAAGAGUUUCUCCUAUGAACAACGACAGAAAGGAUUUAAUGCUGGCACCAAGUGUAAUGCUGCUCAGGCAUCAAUUGAUCAUAAUUUAAUUUGUCUUGAUUGUACCUUGGACAAGGUUUUUUUCGAAACAUCUUGUUUCUUUUUAGAGAAAUUUGGACUCAUGGAAUUGAUCUAAAAUUGUUGUACCACUUCGGAGAUUAGAAACAACAACAAUGUAUAUCACUCUUCGGAAGCAAAUAAUUUCGGAUUCAUAAUGAAAUCAUGUCACCUUUAACUUACAAUAUCAGACUAUAACAACUCGGAGUCUUUUUUAUUCUGACUUUGGCACUGCGGUAGCAACCAGCAGGUUUUCGGGUUUUUUUUUUCAGCUUGAUAGUAGCAAUGAAUGUUGUGUCUGAAGACAGGACUGUAAUGCCAUUAUGUCUUAGUAUAUGGCCGACGUUGAAUAAGAUUGUAAAAUCUAAACCUUUCUGCAAAAAAAAAGACAACAGCUUUUUCAGCGUUACUGAUGCUCAGCGGCUUAAACGCUCGGCCGCUGGCGGGCCCGGAUGAAAAUGUAUAUUUACGAUAAAGAAGCAAUAGAAAGCGUCAUCGAUUAAUAAAAGGUUUCAAGCUUG